CUUUCCUAGCGGCGGACGGGUGAGUAAUGCUUAGGAAUCUGCCUAUUAGUGGGGGACAACAUCUCGAAAGGGAUGCUAAUACCGCAUACGUCCUACGGGAGAAAGCAGGGGACCUUCGGGCCUUGCGCUAAUAGAUGAGCCUAAGUCGGAUUAGCUAGUUGGUGGGGUAAAGGCCUACCAAGGCGACGAUCUGUAGCGGGUCUGAGAGGAUGAUCCGCCACACUGGGACUGAGACACGGCCCAGACUCCUACGGGAGGCAGCAGUGGGGAAUAUUGGACAAUGGGGGGAACCCUGAUCCAGCCAUGCCGCGUGUGUGAAGAAGGCCUUUUGGUUGUAAAGCACUUUAAGCGAGGAGGAGGCUACCGAGAUUAAUACUCUUGGAUAGUGGACGUUACUCGCAGAAUAAGCACCGGCUAACUCUGUGCCAGCAGCCGCGGUAAUACAGAGGGUGCAAGCGUUAAUCGGAUUUACUGGGCGUAAAGCGCGCGUAGGUGGCCAAUUAAGUCAAAUGUGAAAUCCCCGAGCUUAACUUGGGAAUUGCAUUCGAUACUGGUUGGCUAGAGUAUGGGAGAGGAUGGUAGAAUUCCAGGUGUAGCGGUGAAAUGCGUAAAGAUCUGGAGGAAUACC
rnacentral:rRNA from 1 species